CAGAGCUAUAAUAACAACAACCACAAAAAAAGCAUGGCAUUCACAUCAAAAUAGACAUAAAGACCAAUAGUAGACCUUAAAUUCAAUACAUUGCUAUACUAACAAACAAAAGCAUGGUAUUCACACCAAAACAGAUAUGAAGAUAAAUGGAAUUGAAUAGAAAACAUAGAGGAAAAACCCACAUAAAUACAGGUAUCUCAUUCUAAACAAAGGCACUAUAAACAUACAUUGGAGGAAAGAUAGUCUCAUCAACAAAUGGUGCUGGGAAAACUGGAAAUCCAUAUGUAGCAGAAUGAAAUUUAAUUAUCAUCAAUCUUAUGAGUAAUGAAUCUUACUUCCCAACUAAAGCUCCUAUUAAUAAACUAAUAAAUCAGAAUACUGUAUCAUCAAAGGAGAUUAUUUUUAUUAUUUGGUUUGGAACCAACAUUGAAGUAAGUGCUUUCAUGCUUAGUCUCAUCUAAUCUUGACUGCAACCUCGUACUGUUUUUAUAUGUCCAUUUUAUAGAUGAGAGGGGGCUGUGGUUUGGAGAGAUUGAAUGGCUUCCUGAAGGUCACACUCCUAGUAAAUAAUGGAAACAAGAUAUGAUUUGGUCAAUGUAAAGGCAAUAUACUCAUCAGAAAAACCCUACAGGCUUUCAGUGCAUAUUGGCAAUCAUUUUGUAAGAAUAUAAAAUAAUUAUUAUUUAUUAUUUGCUUACUCUAUCUGAGCUAUUCUACUAUAGAUUUUUAUGUACUUAUGGGAUUCUUUAUACAGACAUUAUCUAUACUUGCAUAGUUUUAGUGGGUGGGUAUUGUCACCAGUUAAUAGAUAAGGAAUUAAAGGAUGUAGGCUGAGUGUCUUAGUGGGAAAGAUACAGGUGAGUUGUGCUCUUUCAAUUGUCUCUCCUUCCCUCAUAAACAAUAUUUUUAGCAUCUUUCUGCAGGUGGAGGGAGUCCAGAUCUUAUUCUCUAAGCACAUUCUCACUUUCUUCCCCAACUCCUCUUUGAAGCUUUCAGUCCUCAACAUAGAAAUGCCCUCACCCUAGAGUUUCAUGCUUUCCUCCGACUGUCCCACCAGGCAGGCAAUGGGACAUUUAUUUGUACUGGAAGCAAGAAGCUGUUUUGGGCACUGGGGGCACUUGGGGAUACUCUAUGGUGAGCAUAUAAGUGGGUCCUGAAAUAGUGUUGCUUCUGUUCUUAUAAUUGUGAAGUCCAUUUCUUCUGCUUUAGAGUUUAGUCAAAUCUCUAAAAUCUAAAACUGCUCAUGCCUUUUCAUGGUAGAUGCGCACUAUCAAGAUUUGUAUAAGGAAUGAUUGAAGAAACCUAACCCAGAUUAGGCUUGUUUUUCUAUUUCUCUAGAUGGAGUAAUUUAGGUAAUUUCAUUAAAUUGUUACAGGUGCCAUUUUACAGUCUUCUAAUGCAUCAAUGAUAACUGUCUUCUGAGCCCCUCUUAAUGGCUAUUAGGUUAUUUUGUGUAAUUUCCCAGAAUGAGGCUAAUCCUUUAUAUAUAUCAAAAAACUGAAAGAGUGGAUAAUCAAAGAGUGCAUAGAAGAAUGGUGAGUGAAAGGUAAGUAUUGCUGUAAGUUCUUGAAUAUUAGACUUUAAAUAAACUCUCCUUUAAAUUAAAAGAUAUUAUUUUAACCUCCUUCCCUACCUUCAAACUCAUAUGCUUAUAGGACAGAAAGAUAUGAAAAAUGUGUGCUUACUUUGGUGGACACUUCGAGUAGAGGGUAUACAUCUUUCUAAAGCUUCAUAAUUGAAUUUGAUCUCACAGACCAAAAUAUGAUCCACGAAUUAGGGGUUCAGCAGAGAAAUAAUUUGGGGUUCUUGCACACAAUAUCUCCCUCUGAGAGCAUCUCAGGGUGCAUUAAUACAAAUUUAAGUCCAAUAGAAAAGUCAAGAAAGCCACUCAACUCAAAAUUAUCUCAGGUAUAUUUACAAAAUUCCCAUUACCAGCCAUUGAACACACUUAGGAAAAAUGCAAUUUUAGAGUGAUAGAUUUUGAAAAAAACAUUUCCCUUUAUUUGGAUAUAUGCUAUCUGUGAACACAGGCUUGCUAUAUUGUGUCCUACCUAGAUACUACGUCAUGGUUGAGUUGUGGGAUUUCAGACUGGAUCCCAAUUUAAGAUUAAAUCAUUAACAUUAAAAAAAAUUCUUCUAACUAUUGUAGUCAUAUGUAUACCUGUCUCCAAAGGAUUCAUGCAAACCCCUUCAGCCUGUGUCUCUUGUUGACUCUGUUUUCAUAUCCCAUGGUAUGAAAUGAUUUUUUAUUUUAAUUCAUUUGUUUUAAAUUUAUCUGUUUGUGUCUAAGGAGCAUUUUUUUAAAUAAAAUAAACGAGUUGCCUAAAUAAUCUAUCAUUAUUUAAAUUUUCAUUAUGGAAUACAUUUAUUUCUUUUAUUGAUUUUUUGCCUUAUAAGAAAGAUGGAUUAUUAGGCUUUUAUUUAGCUCUUUCCCUUUUACCACCCAGGUAACUUUAGGUGCUGUAUUAGUUUUCCAGAUUUACUAUAGAAGAUCAGUACAAAUAGGGUGGCUUAAAGUAACAGACACUUAUUUUGUCACAGUUCUGGAAUUCAGAAGCCUGAAGUCCAGCUGUUAGCAGAACCAUGCUCCAGCUGAAAACUGAAGAAUCCUUCCUUGCUCCUUCCAGCUUCUGAAGAAAUGAAGAUUGUUAUUUAAUGGAAGGGGAUGAUACUAUCUAUCUCUUGGUGCAGACGUUCAAUCCACUCUCCGUGAUUGACACAACGAUCCAACUUCCAUCGCUCCUAUGAGAGUUUUGCUCCUGGGCAGGCCCUGUCCACGAGGUGGCAUCCUGUGGCUCUAGCCUUCAUUACCCUUAAGAGAAGAUGGCUCCACUCAUGGCUCCUGCAAAAGUCCUGAGGUUGAGUUCUCCUGGACUGAUGUGCAUCAUGUGGACACAUUUGAACCAGUCUUGGUGAUCAGAGGGAUUGAACACACGGGCGGGCCAGGCCUCUGGCGUGUGCCUCACCUUAAAGGCAGGGUGGGUGGGAACAGUCCCAGGAAGAGUUCAUUAGAAUAGGGAAGGAAUGAUUUCUCCAAAAAGGAAGGUGUUAUUAUGAUAAAGAUGGAAGUAACAUGGGCAGGCAAUAGCCAUCCUUAGAGGUAAGUGACAAUGAUUGGUAUUUCAUGAAUGAGAAAACUGAGGCCCAGAGAGCUAAGUAACUCCAGAAGAAGGAAGUGAUAAUUGUGGGGACAAAGCCCUUAACUUAUAGCUCCCGAGAACAUUCUCCCAGACAUCCAUCACAUCCCUGAUCACAGGUGAGAAAGGAGCAUUCCCGUCUCCUUUUAAACCUGUCCACUGCAAAUAGGAGAAAGCAAAAGCAUUAUGCAACUAGAUUUUGUAAACUCCCAGAGGUACUGAAUAUUUUGGCUAGAGAGUUGUUUGUUCACUGGUGUCUAAUGAAUGCACCUUACCUGACAAUGCUGAAACACUAUUUAAAUACAGCAUUUGCAUUUUAUGUGUGCUGAGGAUGCACUGGCGCUAAGCUGAAGAAUUGCUAUCUUAAAAGACUUCCUGGGCUUUUUUCAGUUUUAUCUCUCAAGGUAAAAACGCCUUAACAAAUAGCCUUACUGCUGUUAAGGACAAAUCCCAAGAAUUCUAAGAAACUCUGUUUAGGGAAUGAUCUAAGAGAAAUGAUCACCCUGGAAGCAGGAAAUGGCUUCUGAGAAGAGCCAGCUCAGCACUUGGAGUGAUGAAGACACUUAGGAUUACCUUUCUUCUCUGACUCUCCCAAGCCCUCUCUGUGUUGAAAAAUGAAACUGAAAUGCUAAGCAGAA